CUGAGCUGUCCCUUGGCCCUGGGAAGACAAGCAGUUCUUUCACACACAACAGGAAAAGGUACAAGAGUGUCUGUCUUUUUCUCUCAAAGGGAGUUCGAGCCAGUAGCAGGUCCAUGCACUGUGCAUGGUGCCCUCUUGGAACCAUCAUAGAUGGCAGUCUGGAGGGUGAUCUUUGUAUGACUCUGUACUGAAGCCAGGCCGUGCCUGAAGGACGGACAGAGCAGAGGCCACGAGUGCAGGGCAGGCGGAAGGUCCCCAGGCAGACACGUGUCCAUCAAGGUGUGUCUCGGUUUCUCCGGAUGUUGGAUCUGGAACCGCCAGUCUCGGGGUGUGUCCCGUGGGGAGCUGCCCAGCUGGUGUGUGAGGUUAUUGGCUGGGGGUAAGAACACUGCUAGAGAAGGAAAUUCUUUCACCAGCCGCAGAGGCAGCUCGACCUGGAGGUGGGUGGAGCUUUUUGCUGACAUGGAGGCCCCCAUGUCUGCCCAGUGGAGCAGAGGGUGAGCCCCGUCUUCUCCUGGCUGUCACGGGAACCAUCCAGGGUAGCUGUUUGUGCUGGAAGGAGGGCACGUGGCUUGUUCCUCUCAGAAGGUCUGUGCGGUGGAGCUGUGAGCACCUCAGAGCCUCCCAAACGCGGGGCGCUUGUCCUUUCUCCUGGAAUUGAGAAGUCAAACCCUGUUCUUUCAACAAUGCCUCAAUGACCAUCUUCAUCUGUUCUUAAAGAAGCCUCACAUCCAGAAACUCCGGGUAAAAUAAAAAUCCUUUGGUUAUAUAUUGAAAACAAAUUUACAUGGGAAAAGGUCCUUAUUUUUCUGUUUGAACUUUCUUAAAUUUCAAGGGCUACCUUUAAAAAUUAUCAAUGACAGGGGCCAGUGCUGUGGCGUGGAGGGUUAAGCCUCUGCCUGCGGCACGGGCAUCCUAAGUUAAUGCGCCUAGGAAAACAGCAGAUGAUGGCCCAAGUCCUUGGGCCCCUGCACCUGUGUGGGAGACCUGGAAGAAGCUCCUGGUUCCUGACUUUGGAUCAGCCCAGCUCUAGCCAAUGCAGCCAUUUGGGGAAUGAACCAGCAGAUGGAAGAUCUCUCUCUCCCUCUCCCUACAACUCUGCCUCUCAAAUGAAGAAAUAAAUCUUUUAAAAUAA